rnacentral:rRNA from 1 species
UACAGAGGUCCCAAGCGUUACUGAGAAUCACUGGGUUUAAAGGGCGCGUAGGCGGUUUUGUAAGUCGAAUGUGAAACCUCCAGGCUCAACCUGGAGACGCCACCCGAUACUGCUGUGGCUAGAGUCCAGUAGGGGAGCGUGGAAUUCCUGGUGUAGCGGUGAAAUGCGCAGGUAUCAGGAGGAACACCAGCGGCGAAGGCGGCGCUCUGGGCUGGCACUGACGCUGAGGAGCGAAAGCGUGGGGAGCGAACAGG